UACAGAGGUCUCGAGCGUUGUUCGGAUUCAUUGGGCGUAAAGGGUGCGUAGGUGGCGCUGUAAGUCGGGUGUGAAAUCCUGAGGCUUAACCUCGGAACUGCAUUCGAUACUGCGGCGCUUGAGGACUGGAGAGGAGACUGGAAUUCAUGGUGUAGCAGUGAAAUGCGUAGAGAUCGGGAGGAACAUCAGUUGCGAAGGCGGCCACCUGGACCAGCACUGACACUGAGGCACGAAAGCGUGGGGAGCAAACAGG
rnacentral:rRNA from 1 species